rnacentral:lncRNA from 1 species
CCUGCCUCCAUUUUGCAGGUGACAAGGUUCUUUGUGCCAUAUAUUGGGCCAAGUGCUUUGCAUGGAGCGUCUCCGUGAAUCCUCAGCACAAUCUGAAGUGACAGGAUGGAGUGUACAUAUGCACAGGGACAGAUGCUGAUAGAGAUGCAGGCCGUGCGAUCAGUGACUGCUUCUGUGUUGAAAGGUCUGAGAGUGCAGACUGUCCAUGCUGGAAUAACAGAACUGGAAGAAGGCCCAAAGAUGGUACUGAGCACAUACUAUAGAGGAUGUAGAUCUGACUUCUUCUGCACCUACUGGGUUUCGCUGACUUCUUGUUCCUGGAGAUGUUCUGCAAGUAGACACCAAGAACAGAACUAGCAGCACCAGCGGGAUCGAAGACCUGGUGCUUCCUCUUCAGUUUUAUUACCUUUCUGAUUCCAGCCAAGAAUGUGUUGUGAUUCCAAACCCCAGCCCACAACG